GCAAGUCGAGCGGUAACAUUUCAAAAGCUUGCUUUUGAAGAUUACGAACGGCGGACGGGUGAGCAAUGCCUAGGAAAUUGCCCUGAUGUGGGGGAUAACCAUUGGAAACAAUGGAUAAUACCGCAUGAUUCCUACGGGCCAAAGAGGGGGACCGUCGGGCCUCUCGCGUCAGGAUAUGCCUAGGUGGGAUUAGCUAGUUGGUGAGGUAAUGGCUCACCAAGGCGACGAUCCAUAGCUGGUCUGAGAGGAUGAUC
rnacentral:rRNA from 1 species